rnacentral:rRNA from 1 species
GAGUUUGAUCAUGGCUCAGAGCGAACGCUGGCGGCGGGCCUAACACAUGCAAGUCGAGCGCGCCCUUCGGGGUGAGCGGCGGACGGGUUAGUAACGCGUGGGAAUAUGCCCGACACUAAGGAAUAGCCUCUGGAAACGGAGAGUAAUACCUUAUACGCCCUUCGGGGGAAAGAUUUAUCGGUGACGGAUUAGCCCGCGUUAGAUUAGAUAGUUGGUGGGGUAAUGGCCUACCAAGUCUACGAUCUAUAGCUGGUUUUAGAGGAUGAUCAGCAACACUGGGACUGAGACACGGCCCAGACUCCUACGGGAGGCAGCAGUGGGGAAUCUUGGACAAUGGGCGCAAGCCUGAUCCAGCCAUGCCGCGUGAGUGAUGAAGGCCUUAGGGUCGUAAAGCUCUUUCGCCAGGGAUGAUAAUGACAGUACCUGGUAAAGAAACCCCGGCUAACUCCGUGCCAGCAGCCGCGGUAAUACGGAGGGGGUUAGCGUUGUCCGGAAUUACUGGGCGUAAAGCGCGCGUAGGCGGAUUAGUCAGUUAGAGGUGAAAUCCCGGGGCUCAACCCCGGAACUGCCUUUAAUACUGCUAGUCUUGAGUUCGAGAGAGGUGAGUGGAAUUCCGAGUGUAGAGGUGAAAUUCGUAGAUAUUCGGAGGAACACCAGUGGCGAAGGCGGCUCACUGGCU